UACACAUAUAUAUACCAUAUAUAUAUGGUAUAUAUAUAUAUAUAUACCAUAUAUAUAUCAUAUAUGAAUUGUAUAUGUACAUAUGAUUUGUGAAUAUGAUAGGUUAUAUAUAAUUAUAACAAUAAUAUAUUUAAUGAUGAAAAUAAUAUAAUUGUGGGUCCGACGAGGUGUACGGUGAGUGAGACUGCCGCAGAGGUCCCGGGUUUCACUGGCUCCUGAACCCGCCUAAUCAAUGGGUGUGCGUUCCCCAGUUUAUUGAAUCCCACUGACUGCCAGUGGGCAGAGUAGGAGUUACGGCCAUAGUGGAACGGGCAGUGCCAGGCUGGGGGAAGGCUAAGGCAUCUUCCACAGAGGAAAUGCCUAACCCUAACCCGCCCCCCUUCCAGAGCUGCCCACAGCUGGAGCUGGAGCCGCUUUGGGACCGGCUGCAGGCUCCAUAUGUGUGGCUGCUCAGCGCGUCCACCUUACUAAUCCUAACUAGCUCCACAUUUUUAUUUAUCAUUUUUAUUUCACAGUUCACAACAUCAUAACUUUACAAAGAUAAAUCAGUUGUAAAACAAAAUUAUCAGCAAGGUUAGCAUUACCUUUAUUCCUUCGAAACCUUGCUAUUGUUUUGAUGUUAUGAGGACGCAGCCAUGAUCCCAGAGUACUUGCUGCCUCACUAGCAUGAAGCAAAGUGUGUGAUUGGUCAAUUACUACUUGGAAAAUUUGAGUUUUUUCUCAUAUUUAAAAAAUAUGUGCAGGUUUUGUUCUUGAUGAGUUUCAGGUAUAAUUUCUAUAAUAUUUUUACACAAUGUGUUAUAAAUACAGGUAGAUACGUGAUUUGGGUCACGAAAUGAAACGACAAAGCACCUCGGCCCACGGUCUACUGGGGAUUUGUAACUUUUAACCACCUGGAUUAGUUUCCAACCUAAAACAAACACCCGGGGAUCUUCAAUUCAGAUCCACGUGCUCCACAAUUAGAUUAUAGCCAGAAAUUUGAUCGUAAGACAUAAGAGCUGAAUUAGGCCAUUUGGCCCAUCGAGUCUGCUCUGCCAUUCGACCAUGGCUGAUCUAAUUUACCAUCUCAACCCCAUUCUUCUGUCUAUAUCUUGUCCUCUAAAUAGACCCCUCAAUUAUUUCCAUCCAUUAACUCACAUAGUAUAGGUUAUUCUAUAUACAAACCUCCGGAACCCUUAAUUUGACUCCAGUCGUAAAUUUGCUGCUGGCUACAUACCAUCGUCCACAGAAAACUCGACCUUUCAGUACCUCACAGCUAGAGUCCCGGGUUCAAUCCUGACCUCUGGUGCUGUCUGUGUGGAGUUUGCACGUUCUCCCUGUGACCUGAAGAGGUUUCCUCCGGGGUGCUGCGGUUUCAUCCCACAUCUCAAGGAUGUAGGUUAAUUAGCCCUCUGUAAAUUGCCCGUCGUGUGUAGAGAGUGAAUGAGGAAACGAGAACAAGGUGGGCUGAAGGAAGCCUAGAUAUCUCGUCUGGAUAUGUUCCUCUGUAUGCUAACACUGAUCCAUUGAUUUAAAUGUUACACUCUCAUGACCUCAGGAGUCUAUUAUACCUGCUAAAUGUGAUUGGUUUCUAGCCUGCAACUCACUAUCCGUAAUUCUAAGUAUAAUUCCCUCGAUUAGAUUCUAGCCUAUAAUAUUCUUGAAUAUCUGUUAUUUAACACUCUGAACCCUCUUGGUUGGAUCACAGCCUGUAACUCAUAGAGGACCUGUUAUUAACGUUUAAAGUUCCCUUCAUUCCAACAUUUCCAUCGGAUCCUAGUGAACUCCCGUCAGCGUUACAAACAGGGCCGGAUUUAGAUGAAGAGUCCCACUUGUGAUGCCCCCUCCGCGUUGUUUUUCAGCGCUGGCGGCGAGGCAGCAUCCGGACAGCCAUGGCGGCCAAAUCUCCCACAAUUCAAAGCGGGGGAGAAAGUGCCCAGCGCCGACCAGUUGCAGUGCGCGUGCGCAAUGCGGCCGAUGAUGUGCUGGCCGUGGUUGUGCGCAUGUGCAGGGGGAGGACGUGAAGGCCACAGCAAUGCGCAUGUGCAAGGCGGCCUGGCGUGCCGGCGGAUGAGGAGGGAGCGGAGCCCGGCGGCCGGGACACGGAUGGCGGGGGGGAGACGGAGAGAGGGAGGAAGGCCCGCCCGCCGACCCAGAGUUGAACGGUAGUGUCCUGCCUUGGCCGGAGGCCCCAUAGACCUCGAGGCCCUGAGCUUAAGUUGUAUAGUUUAUAGGUCAAACAGUGAGCUUCACGUCUGUCUUGGAGAGGGUUCCACCCCAGAGAAUUCAGAAGUUUGGUGACACUCGCUUUUCUAUCAUAGACGUUAGUAACAAAUCAAGCUGGACAUGUUCGAUGGAUGAAAUGUUUUUAUUUGUGUAUGGGUCCCAUGCUGCAACUGCGUAAUCCAAAUGAGGUCUAACGAGGGUGAAGUAUAGCUUCUCCUUGACAAGUUGAACAAUGAUGAAAGUUGCGUCUCAGAAAGUUUAGGACACCUGUUGCUUUCACCGUUGCAUGAUGAGUCUGACCAUUCCAACGCAGAUCAUUCUGCAAUUUGAUGCCAAGAUACUUGGUUUGUUUGGAUUCUUCAAGGGUGGCACCAAGUAUAUUGUAAGAUGUUUCGCCUGGAUUCCUCUUUCUGGUGACACACAUAGUUUCACAUUUGGAAGGGCUGAACUGCAUGCCCCAUUGUUGUGACCACUCAACCAUAGUAUCGAGAUCCUUUUGGAGAGCAUCUUCAUCAUCAGCUGACGGUACAGCAAACAAUCAUCAGCGAAAAGUCUGGUCGUACUUGUGACUUUUUCAUGGACGUCAUUUAUGUAAAGCAGCCAUGGUUUAUUAAAUCAAAACAUAAGAUAUGUUAUUAGCAGAUGUAACCACCUGCAAUUUAUGUAGUGACUGGACCUGUUGCACUGAGGCCAGUGCCAUGAGGAUUAUUACCUUAUAAGGACAGGCUAAAUAUAAGGAUGUAGCUGGAGCCUCCUGGUGAAGUAAUGUUAGCAUAACAUCAUUGUCCCAUACUUCCGUGUAACUGGGCCUGGGAGAACUUGUGUUAAGAUAUCCUAUAUAAUUCUGGAUAUCAGAGGGUGAGGCCCGACAGUGUGGGUCCCACUUGCUGCAGCAAAUAUGAUGAGAAAGCACGUUGGCACAGUUUAUGGCACUGUAACUUAAUUAUUGUCAAAGAAUCAUUUAAAAAUGAACUCUUAGACGUCAGUUAUCUGUGCUGUACAGUAUGUAUUGUGUAUUCAGACAAAACAUUUCCCAUCUGCUGAAGUGGAGAUGUACUGCCUUUUGGUGCUUGACCUGCACUCUGCAGUGAGCACUUACACGGAUUGGUCCGACAACCCGAGCCACAGGAAUAGUCGUCUCAGAGUCUGCAAGUUAAUGACCUGAUAUAUCAUGCAGAGACUGGUUUCCUGAGUCACAGGCUGAACCAGCAAGUUUUAUGUUUUGAAUAACCAUAUAAGGUUCUAUAUUAUUCCCAACAAUAGCAGGAACCAUGGCUGCGUAUGCCAGUCAGGCAGUUUGAGGCCUGAAGCAGUAUCUUGCUGGAUUUAUUGCAAGACACAACUGAUGAGGCAGAAUGGAGGAAAAACAUGCAAUAACAUUCCUCCCCGGUGUGGUGAUAAUGCAUCUCUUGCCACCUUAUGCCACGUUUUGCAGCUGGUAAAUGAGCCUGGAUGUAAAAAUAUCGAUAUUCGGUGUUCUAUCGAGCCAAAAUGACAUUAAAUACUUUGUGAUCCA